UGGGGUAGUAGGCGGAGGAUAGAGUGGCUGACCAGAUGCACCUUGGCACGUCCCAUCCUCUAGUUUCUGACCACAAGCCUUUCUUCUGCCCUCAGGUGAGGACUGUGCUAUGAAUCCUUCGUUAAGAAGCUGCUGCUUUGAGAGGCUCUUGUCUCUCUGCGACUAGGACGAGACAUCUAUAAGUCUCCUGGUUAGGAAGGGCCCUCCCAAGAGGGGUGGACUAGAUCUCAACAGUGAAAGCUGGGGCUAGGGGAGGGUAGUCCACUCUCUCCCCAAAGCCCUCAAGAUUCCUCAUUUAAUGCAAGAGUCGGCUGCCCUUGGAGCUGAGUUCCACCCACUCCUGUUGCUUCGUCUGCUACACCUUUCCUUAGAGAGCUGUGGCCUCCUGUAGAGGUCAGCAAGUCCGUUUGGGAGUUGUCUAGAAGAAGUACUCAUGGCUCCGAAAAGGAGGGGCCGUAGCCCUUUAAGGACUUCGCCGGGAUGAAUUCAGAGAUGAGUUUAAAAAUGCCAACUCACAGAGCGCGCUGGAUUCUGGGAACGGGGUGUCAGAUCGAGAACUACAUUGACCAGUGUGCACUGCAAACACGCGCCUUCACUUCCCUCUGCUCUUUAGGACUCUGGUUUGACGUAGUUCUCUUCAAAGCGAGCAGUCUAGGCUGAGGGCUGAGCCACACCCUUUCACCUAUUGGCCAACUCGUGAGUUGGUGGGCGUGGCUUAGUGCAAUUCCUCCAGGCAAAGCGAGGGGCCUCCUUGCCAAUCAGAGCUAAGGCGGCCGGAGAGGCGGGACCAAGGCGAAGGGCUAGCGCCCCCGAGUGGGUGUGGUCACGCUGCCCAGCAGUGGGAGGUGAUUGGCCUUGGGCGGUGCAAUCGCCUCUUGUGCGUCACGACGCCGCCAGCUGAUCGGAGACUGGAGCCGGUGUGUGCUGGGCGCUGGGAAGAGAUAGCGCCGCCGGCCGUGGGGAACGGACGCACUGGUUUGCUCCCCUAUCCUCAGCACCCCCCCUCGCCCCCCCAGCACCAGGUGGGUGUGAGCUGGGAUCCCGGCCUCACAGGAGGGAACCAUGCUAAAAGGGUAAUGGGGGAAAGUAGGGUCCUGGCGGCCACACCCUGCCUUUCCGGGGGAGAGAAGAGGGGGCGGCGAGGGCACCCGCGCUCGGGGGAGAGGGGCCUGGAUUAGCUGGAGUAGAGUAUCAGGAGGUUUAAAGAGACUCCAGGACAGAGUCGUGUUGGAAGGUUUUGCGGAGUAGUCGGGAAGACGACGAGGAACUGGAGGUCUGGGGGCGGCUAACCUCUGAGCCUUCUGGUAGGAGGAUACGGGAACCAGACUCUCACCUUGUACCUUGGAGGAUUUGGACCGGUAGGCUAGCGGGGAGGUGCUUUGCCUUUACCGACACUCACUAAAUCAGGGCCAGUUAAACGCCCUGGCAGAGAAGGGGUCUCUGGGCGGGCCGGCCCCUCCUCUCCUUCCCUCCAGGGAAUGUUAUGUAAGGGGGGAGGAGGAAGGAGUAGGGGGCGGCGGUGCGGGGGCUUUAUGCAACCCAAAGGUUAUGGUUUCACCGCGGUUAGUGGGGGGAGCGGGCAGGAGGAGGACCUGGAAACUCUACCCCCACACCGCCCAGUCUAACUGGCUGUCUUGGGCCAAGAGAAGGUCACCUCUGCACCUCCCCCAAGCCUGUCCGGUUGUGGGGCCCCUAGUCCAGGCCUGGCCCUGACCGCCUGGGAAGCCGGCUCGCUGGGUGGGGCGCCUGGGUUAGUCAUCACUGGGCUCCCUCUCUCCCCACCUCUCGGCCAACUCUUGGCCCCUCCCUGUAGCCUCUGGCUAGGCUAUAGCCCCCACCUCCCUUUGGCCCUAGUUACAGCCUCCAACUCUUUUGGCCUGUCAUCUUGGCUGUCACACUGGGCUGGGGGUUGUCAGGGUGCCAAAGGGUUGAUGGAGCAGCUGGUCAGAGGGUCAGUGCCCUGGGCCCACCCCGCCCUGCAGCCAAGGGCACCUGCUUGGCACAGACUCUCGGCAGCCGCUGAGUCCUUUGGGCUGAAUGGAGCCCAGCUCAGGAUUAGGAAGAAGUUAAACUGGUCACCUGGGGGAAGAAAGAUACCAUAAAGUUUUGCCUCACAAGAGGGUUUUGUUAUUUGAAACCCUCCCACCGCCACCAUAAUCUUAUUUUGUGAGUAGAGAAGUCUCAAGGCAGGACCGCCUUGGACCCUCAGUUAAUGGGCCCUGCCCCUGGACUAAUUGUCAGCACAGACCGUCCCUCCCUAGAUCAGGGCCCUGGAGCCUGCCACGCCCCCAGCCCCCUCCCUGGGCCUUGCUGCGGCCCGGCUUUUCCUGCUGAUUCAUGCGUUGGAACUGUGGGGGCGGGGCUUGGAACUUGGAACAAAGUUCAGACAUGGAGGGGCCGGCAGACAGCCUGGAAUUCAUACCAGAUGUACCCGGAAUGCGCAAACGGAAUGCCUGGCAUUUGAGAGUCCUGGGGAAGCUGCCCAUCCACCCUGCCAUACCUCCCUCCCAUUCAGCCUUUGGUACCCUGUCCUCUCCUCUCAGUCCCAGGAACCUCUACUGACCUUCCAAACUCUAGACCUCCUCCCUUCCUCACUCUUCCCCAGAUGUAGACCCCUAAAACUCUUCUUCUAGCUGAAAUCCCUGGAAACAAGUUGGGCUGAGCACUGAACUCACAUUUCUGGACCUGAGGAGCCUGUACCUCCCACUUCCUCACCUGGCUGAGCCGCAGUAGUUCUUCAGUGGCAAGCUUUAUGUCCUGACCCAGCUAAAGCUGCCAGUUGAAGAACUGUUGCCCUCUGCCCCUGGCUUCAAGGAGGAGGAGGAGGAAGAGGAGAGGAGCUGCUUUCCCCCUCAUCUGGAAGGUGACAGAACUGGGGUUGGGAAAGUCUGGAGUGACAGGGGGAGUAAUGAUACUUUUUGGGGAAAUCAGCUCUGUUCAGUUGGAGAGCCUGCUCCCAGAGAGGCCCAGCAAUAGAGAGAACAAUUCUAGAUUAAAGACCCUGACUAAAUGAAGGGAUAGAUGGUUCUGACUACCCAAGCAAGGUUAGUUGGUCUUUAUGUGGUAAUAGGAAGAAGUGGAGCACAGAAAACUCUGUCUACCCCUUUACCCAGAUAAUCAUUGUUGACCCUCCUUCCUUGUCCCUCAUUCUUUCCUACUGGCCUUUCCAGCUGAGGUCCAAAGAUUUUCCUGAUAAGAUUCCUCCUCAGGAAAAAUGUAGUACUGAACCUAGUUGUUGCCCCCAUGCUCUUACCUUUCCCUGAAUUUCCUUAGACUGGCCCAGACUCUAGAGUCAGAGAUAGUCACCUAUAUGUGGAAUCCUGAGACCUGUUGUCUCAGCUUCUCCACCUGUGAGAUGGGUAAUCACACAGUUGAGUAUGCAUCAGGGAAUUAGAAGCCCACUUGUGCAGACUCUGAGCCCGGGCUCUCCUCCCACUGUGGUGGGAACAAAACAGCUUUACACAUAAGCUAUUGUCCUCCCCCAUCCCUGACCAUAACCCCAGCAACUGGAGAGGGGGGUGGUUGGAGGGAGGGGCUGGGAUUAGACCAAUGCCAGGGGCUAGUAGGAACUCAGUCCCUACAUUGACUUCCCACCAUGCAAAGAUGGCCCCAGGCCUCCCCUGCCACCCAGUGCAGGACUGCAGCCUCUGAUGGGCUUCCAGCUGCUGCUGCUCUGUUGCUUCCCUCACUUUGCUUUCUAGGAUAAUGUGUGAGACAGCUCAGGCCUGUGCAGGCAGGAAAUUCUCCCCUCCAGCAACCAGGAGAGGUGGAUUGCUGGAUGUGAUUCCCUUUGGGGCAUCAGGCACUGUAAGCCUGCCACCCCCACUGUUCUGUUUUGGAGUAGGAGGUGUGCAGGGAGCUGGGUCCUAUUCUCCAUUUAUGAGAAACAGAUAUAGAGGAGAGUAUAUAGAGAGCUGGCUUAUGUUGGGACUGUGUGGUAGAGCAGGUGGAUAGACCGAAUCCACUUACAGGCUGCAACAAAGAUCACUCUGUCCUUGGACAUUGUUUCCAUCCUUUCUUCCCCUCAUUUCACUGGCCAGUGUCUCACUCCAGCCCUGGGUUUGUGGCUCUGCCAUCCUUACCUAUCAUGGAGCAGAGAUGAGGAACAGCCUGGGAACACAGAGGCAGGCAGAAGACCAGUGAAGGAGCAGGCCCAGAGAGCACAGAGAUUCCCUAUCUGGGCAUUCUGCAUAGAGGGCCCAUAGAGGCCAGGAGCGUCAGAGGAUGAUGGAGGACAGCCAGCUGUCAUCAAGGAUAAGCUUCCAGCCAUCUACUAUAUUCACCAUUUCUCUCCAGUCUUUCUGCCUCCAUCAGAGAGAGGCUUCAUUCUCCUACUUCCAUCUCUCCCCUACCCUGUAAUUUUUAUAAAAGCAGCUUCAAGGAGCAAGAGCCAGCUGUGAAAGGACAUACACAGGAAAUUCAUAAAUGAAAUUCAAAUGGAUAAAAUCAUGGAAAAUGUGCUUCAUUAGUAAUUGAAGAAAGACAAAUAUACCUGGAAGCAUUUACCCUUAGCAAAACUAUAACAGGAAAAAAAUAAGACCCAAUAUUGGCAAAGGAGUACUAAAAUAACACUCCUAUACAUUACAUGUGUGGGUACGAAUUGGUACAGCUUUCCUGGAUGUCAGUUUGGUAAUAGGUGUCAAACACUCUAAAAGUUUCUGUGGCCUAAAAGUUUCUUUGUCUACUUUGGGGGGUAUAACCUAAGAAAAUAAGGAUUUAGUUCUAAGAUGUUCAUCCCAGCAUUGCAAUAGAGAAAAACAGGAAGCAACUGUCUGAUUGGGAAUUUGUUUCUUUUCUACUGUAAUGACAAUUUGCAAUAGGGGAUUGCUUAAGUAAAUUACUGUAUGUCCAUCCAGAUGGUGGGAUAUUGUGUAGCCAUUAAAAGUCGUGUAGAGGAACAUUUUGACUCAAAAGCAAAAUACUUUUUGAAUAUUAAAAAGGUUAUAAAAAUGGCAUA